AACGAACGCUGGCGGCAGGCUUAACACAUGCAAGUCGAACGCCCCGCAAGGGGAGUGGCAGACUGGUGAGUAACGCGUGGGAAUCUACCCAUCCCUACGGAAUAACGCAUGGAAACGUGUGCUAAUACCGUAUACGCCCUACGGGGGAAAGAUUUAUCGGGGAUGGAUGAGCCCGCGUUGGAUUAGCUAGUUGGUGGGGUAAAGGCCUACCAAGGCGACGAUCCAUAGCUGGUCUGAGAGGAUGACCAGCCACAUUGGGACUGAGACACGGCCCAAACUCCUACGGGAGGGAGGAGUGGGGAAUAUAGGAAAAUGGGCGCAAGCCUGAGCCAGCCAUGCCGGGUGAGUGAUGAAGGCCUUAGGGUUGUAAAGCUCUUUCACAGGAGAAGAUAAUGACGGUAUCCGGAGAAGAAGCCCCGGCUAACUUCGUG
rnacentral:rRNA from 1 species